rnacentral:rRNA from 1 species
GACGAACGCUGGCGGCGUGCUUAACACAUGCAAGUCGAGCGGUAAGGCCCUUUCGGGGGUACACGAGCGGCGAACGGGUGAGUAACACGUGGGUGACCUGCCCUUAGCUCUGGGAUAAGCCUGGGAAACUGGGUCUAAUACCGGAUAUGACUCCAUGACGCAUGUUGUGGGGUGGAAAGCCUUGUGCGGCUAGGGAUGGGCCCGCGGCCUAUCAGCUUGUUGGUGGGGUGAUGGCCUACCAAGGCGACGACGGGUAGCCGGCCUGAGAGGGCGACCGGCCACACUGGGACUGAGACACGGCCCAGACUCCUACGGGAGGCAGCAGUGGGGGAAUCUUGCGCAAUGGGCGAAAGCCUGACGCAGCGACGCCGCGU